GGACACGUGAAAUCCUGGUUGAAGAUGGGUGGACCAUCAUCCAAGGCUAAAUACUACUUACUGACCGAUAGUGAACCAGUACCGUGAGGGAAAGGUGAAAAGAACCCCGGAGAGGGGAGUGAAAUAGAAUCUGAAACCGUUUGCGUACAAGCAGUGGGAGCAUAGUUUAGGCUGUGUGACUGCGUACCUUUUGUAUAAUGGGUCAGCGAGUUACUUUCAGUGGCGAGGUUAACUGAAUAAGGGAGCCGUAGAGAAAUCGAGUCUGAAUAGGGCGAUAGUCGCUGGGAGUAGACCCGAAACCGGGCGAUCUAGCCAUGUGCAGGAUGAAGGUUGGGUAACACCAACUGGAGGUCCGAACCGGGUAAUGUUGAAAAAUUAUCGGAUGACGUGUGGCUAGGAGUGAAAGGCUAAUCAAGCCCGGAGAUAGCUGGUUCUCCCCGAAAGCUAUUUAGGUAGCGCCUCGUGAAUGAUUACUGGGGGUAGAGCACUGUUUCGGCUAGGGGGCUGUCAUGGCUUACCAAACCGAUGCAAACUCCGAAUACCGGCUAAUUGAAUCACGGGAGACACACGGCGGGUGCUAACGUCCGUCGUGGAGAGGGAAACAACCCAGACCGCCAGCUAAGGUCCCCAAGUACUAGUUAAGUGGGAAACGAUGUGGGAAGGCAUAGACAGCCAGGAGGUUGGCUUAGAAGCAGCCACCCUUUAAAGAAAGCGUAAUAGCUCACUGGUCGAGUCGGCCUGCGCGGAAGAUGUAACGGGGCUAAAACUAGUCACCGAAGCUGCGGAUGUGCGCGAAGGCGCACGUGGUAGGGGAGCGUUCUGUAGGCUGAUGAAGGUGCAUUGAGAAGUGUGCUGGAGGUAUCAGAAGUGCGAAUGCUGACAUGAGUAACGAUAAUGUGGGUGAAAAGCCUACACGCCGGAAGUCCCAGGUUUCCUGCACGACGUUAAUCGGAGCAGGGUGAGUCGGCCCCUAAGGCGAGGCUGAAGAGCGUAGUCGAUGGGAACCAGGUUAAUAUUCCUGGACUUUUUAUAAGUGGUGAAGUGGGGACGAAGAA
rnacentral:rRNA from 1 species